rnacentral:piRNA from 1 species
AAGGCAAAAACCAUCUCCAUUGUAG